rnacentral:rRNA from 1 species
CCUACGGGUGGCUGCAGUGGGGAAUAUUGCGCAAUGGGCGAAAGCCUGACGCAGCGACGCCGCGUGAGGGAUGAAGGUCUUCGGAUCGUAAACCUCUGUCAGCAGGGAAGAACGGUCACUGUGCUAAUCAGUAGUGAAUUGACGGUACCUGCAAAGGAAGCACCGGCUAACUCCGUGCCAGCAGCCGCGGUAAUACGGAGGGUGCGCGCGUUAAUCGGAAUUACUGGGCGUAAAGCGCUCGUAGGCGGUAUGUCAAGUCAAGGGUGAAAUCCCCGCGCUCAACGUGGGAGCUGCCGUUGAAACUGGGAAACUGGAGUGUGUGAGAGGAUAGUGGAAUUCCAGGUGUAGGAGUGAAAUGCGUAGAUAUAUGGAGGAACAUCAGUGGCGAAGGCGACUAUCUGGCACAUAACUGACGCUGAGGAGCGAAAGCGUGGGUAGCAAACAGGAUUAGAUACCCUUGUAGUC